AUGAACGCUGGCGGCGUGCCUCAUCCAUGCAAGUCGAGCGAACAGACGAGGAGCUUGCUCCUCUGACGUUAGCGGCGGACGGGUGAGUAACACGUGGAUAACCUACCUAUAAGACUGGGAUAACUUCGGGAAACCGGAGCUAUUACCGGAUAAUAUAUUGAACCGCAUGGUUCAAUAGUGAAAGACGGUUUUGCUGUCACUUAUAGAUGGAUCCGCGCCGCAUUAGCUAGUUGGUAAGGUAACGGCUUACCAAGGCAACGAUGCGUAGCCGACCUGAGAGGGUGAUCGGCCACACUGGAACUGAGACACGGUCCAGACUCCUACGGGAGGCAGCAGUAGGGAAUCUUCCGCAAUGGGCGAAAGCCUGACGGAGCAACGCCGCGUGAGUGAUGAAGGUCUUCGGAUCGUAAAACUCUGUUAUUAGGGAAGAACAAAUGUGUAAGUAACUAUGCACGUCUUGACGGUACCUAAUCAGAAAGCCACGGCUAACUACGUG
rnacentral:rRNA from 1 species